AUUGAACGCUGGCGGCAUGCUUUACACAUGCAAGUCGAACGGCAGCGCGGGCUUCGGCCUGGCGGCGAGUGGCGAACGGGUGAGUAAUACAUCGGAACGUGCCCAGUAGUGGGGGAUAGCUCGGCGAAAGCCGGAUUAAUACCGCAUACGACCUGAGGGUGAAAGCGGGGGAUCUUCGGACCUCGCGCUCUUGGAGCGGCCGAUGGCAGAUUAGCUAGUUGGUGGGGUAAAGGCCUACCAAGGCGACGAUCUGUAGCUGGUCUGAGAGGACGACCAGCCACACUGGGACUGAGACACGGCCCAGACUCCUACGGGAGGCAGCAGUGGGGAAUUUUGGACAAUGGGCGAAAGCCUGAUCCAGCAAUGCCGCGUGUGUGAUGAAGGCCUUCGGGUUGUAAAACACUUUUGGCGGGAACGAAAAGGACUGUGCCAAUACCACGGUUCGAUGACGGUACCCGCAGAAUAAGCACCGGCUAACUACGUG
rnacentral:rRNA from 1 species